UGGGGAAUUUUGGGCAAUGGGCGAAAGCCUGACCCAGCAACGCCGCGUGAAGGAUGAAGUAUUUCGGUAUGUAAACUUCGAAAGAAUAGGAAGAAUAAAUGACGGUACUAUUUAUAAGCUCCGGCUAACUACGUGCCAGCAGCCGCGGUAAUACGUAGGGAGCAAGCGUUGUUCGGAUUUACUGGGCGUAAAGGGCGCGUAGGCGGCGCGGUAAGUCACUUGUGAAAUCUCUGAGCUUAACUCAGAACGGCCAAGUGAUACUGCAGUGCUAGAGUGCAGAAAGGGCAAUCGGAAUUCUUGGUGUAGCGGUGAAAUGCGUAGAUAUCAAGAGGAACACCUGAGGCGAAGGCGGGUUGCUAGGCUGACACUGACGCUGAGGCGCGAAAGCCAGGGGAGCAAACG
rnacentral:rRNA from 1 species